CAGGGGUCCAAUCUGUAGCCAUGGACGGAGCAGAAGUAACCCAUCCAUGGGACUGCCCACAACGUUGACUCCAGUCGGCGAGCUGAACCCUCCUCCUUGAGCGAAUGCCCAGCGAAAGGGCCCUGGCCACAGCUAUUUUGUCAGCUCCUUCUCCUCUAUUCCUUUCUUUCCACCACCCCCUCCAUUUGAGAUGAAAUCAGGAAGAGGGAGGGGAAAAAAAUAAAAGUUUUGCAAGCUCUGUUGGUUGGGGUUUCUCUGUGCUUAUUUACAAGAAACCUAGUUUCGUUCCUUGGCUCUCGGUCACUGCCUGAUUCCAGCGUGGGGCUUGUCACGACUCCGAUGGGGCCUACUGUUUCCAGAGAGUUCCUGGCUCCAGACCUAGAGUGGUCAUGGCAUGGUCCCUGCCCCAUAAAUAUACACUUGCUCUCAGCUUACACAUAAGGCAGUAAAAUCCAGGAGAUCAAGGCCUAUUUCAUCUUCUCCUGACUCUAACACAGGUCUGGACAUUCAUGAAUUAAGUCCACGUAAAUUCUCAGCCCGAGUGAGAUCUCGAGAAAAGAGACCCUGGGGCCUAAUGGAUCUGAGGGCUACAGUCUAGGGGUGAGGAUAGCGAUAGUGUUAGGGGGCAAAGGUCUCCAGGCUCAAACAGUACUUGUCCUCUCUUGCUCCAAGCCUCCGUUAGGGGAAACACAUACAAGCUAGAGUCAUUUAUUCCAAGCAGCAUCAAGAAGGCGGCUGAUGAUCAAUCAGGCCAUCAUCAAAGCAUUCUCUCUUUGUAUAAAAACCACAGUCUUUCCACCCCAGGAAUAUCGGGUGCUGGUCUGAUCACUGGACCCUUGGUAAAGACUUCAUGAUGCUGGAUCAGUUCUA
rnacentral:lncRNA from 1 species